GUUUUUUUCCGUUUCCCUUACGUUAAGCUCGUCUCUGAAUCUCUCUCCUCAAUCUCAACCUCAAAAACCCUAACGACGUUACCAGUACUUCCUUCUGCGAGCUCUCACCAUCUUCAAUUUUCCACCAUGGAUGCGCAGAGAGCUCUCCUCGAUGAACUCAUGGGCGCAGCUCGGAAUUUGACUGAAGAAGAGAGGAAGGGGUAUAAGGAGAUUAAGUGGGACGACAAGGAGGUUUGCGCGCCUUUUAUGAUACGAUUUUGCCCUCACGAUCUCUUCGUCAAUACUCGUAGUGAUCUUGGACCAUGCCCAAGAAUUCAUGACCAAAAGCUGAAAGAAAGCUUCGAGAAUUCUCCAAGGCAUGAUUCUUAUGUCCCACGCUUUGAAGCUGAACUUGUUCAAUUUUGUGAGAAAUUGGUGGCAGACUUGGAUAGGAAAGUUAGACGUGGAAGAGAACGCCUGGACCAGGAGGUUGAACCUCCUCCUCCUCCUCCUAUUUCAGCUGAAAAAGCCGAGCAACUCUCUGUGUUGGAAGAUAAAAUAAAAAAUUUGCUGGAACAAGUAGAGUCACUGGGGGAAGCUGGCAAAGUUGAUGAAGCAGAAGCACUCAUGCGAAAGGUUGACAGUCUUAAUGUCGAGAAAGCCAUAUUAACUCAACAGCCUCUGAAUCCAGCAACUAUGUUGACACAGGAGAAAAAGAUGGCAUUGUGUGAAAUUUGUGGUUCGUUCCUGGUAGCCAACGAUGCUAUGGAAAGAACUCAAUCUCAUAUUACUGGCAAGCAGCACAUUGGUUAUGGCUUGGUCCGUGAUUUCAUCGCUGAAUUCAAGGCGGCUAAGGAGAAGGCAAGGGAAGAGGAAAGAUUAGCAAGGGAGAAAGAGGCGGAAGAAAGAAGGAAACAGAAAGAGAAUGAAAAUGAGGGCAAAAACAGAAGAAGCAUCUCCAGUGAGAGGGAUUGUCAUCGUGACCGUGACAGGGAUUAUAGCCGAGACCGUGAUAGAUCACGUGAAAGGAACAAUAGAGGGAACCGAGAUGAGGGAAGAGGAAUGGACCGUAGAAGGAACAAUGAUCAUCGUAAUGGAAGGGAUGGAGGUGGGAGGAACAGGUACUAUGGCCGGGAUAGGAGCAGGUCACGUUCGCCUGUUAGGCACGGCCACCGGAGGUGACCUAAGUGUCCUGUUUGCGGGUAUUACUGGCUGGAGUGUUUGAGACUAAACUGUCUCCUUUCAACAAUCUUAUUAGAGGUCAAAGGGAUUGAGACAUUGCAGUUUGACAUCAGAAACUGAACGCAAACUUCAGUCCAGUCCAGUCCAGUCCAGUCCAGUCCGCCUUCUAGUGUGGGGAAAGCUGGAGCUUGAUUAAGGAAAUGUUGUGCUUCAAGAUUAUGCUUGUUUUAGUGAGUGUGCUUUCAUGUCAAGUUUUGUUUUGAUGAACUUGAAUCGCUUAUGUAUGCUUGAGUAUCAUACCCCUAGAAUUUUUGUAGACAUCUCAAAAUUCUGAGUUCAAACUCAUAUGCUUAAACCUUAUACUGAGUAUACUGAGUGUAUGCUUGGCAGCCUUGGCAACUCUGAAGUGUUGUGUAAGAACUUACAGUGUGUGAAAUUCAAGUUGUCCAGAAUGAAACCAAGUUUUCAUCGUUCGUUGA